UACGUAGGGCGCAAGCGUUAUCCGGAAUUAUUGGGCGUAAAGAGCUUGUAGGCGGUUUGUCGCGUCUGCCGUGAAAAUUCGAGGCUCAACCUCGAACUUGCGGUGGGUACGGGCAGACUAGAGUCCGGCAGGGGAGACUGGAAUUCCUGGUGUAGCGGUGAAAUGCGCAGAUAUCAGGAGGAACACCGAUGGCGAAGGCAGGUCUCUGGGCAUUAACUGACGCUGAGGAGCGAAAGCAUGGGGAGCGAACAGG
rnacentral:rRNA from 1 species